CUGCCGCCGAAGUGCCACCCAAGACCCAGAGCACCGCUGGAAUGCGAGUGCUGUACGAAUGUCCAAGAUGCGAAGAGAUGCUUCCCUGCUGACAGCAUGUGGCUUCAGGAAGAAUACAGGUGUAUGUCUUCCAGAGCUGCUGUUACUUCAUUCCCUGAACUGGCUUUCUUCAUCCAGACCUCCGUGCCACCUCUGCAGCCCCACCCAAUUGCCCCAUUACCACUGAACACUCCGAAGAAGAAUUCAAGAGCCAGAAGGUGACAUCUCCCCCAAUCUAUCACUAAAUGGAAAUACAGAGCACAAAGGACAAAAAUAGAGAGGGAAAGGAUGCAAAGAUAAAAAAGGCACAGAUCACUCCUGACUCAGUUCCUUUCUUUAAGCAUUGGCCUGAACAGACCUUAGAUGUAUCUUGAACUAAGGUUACAAGGAGGUACAAAUUUUGAAGCAACCAACAUCUCCUGCAGAUGAUGGAACCUGAAUAAGUGUACCCUGGCGGACAAUAAAAUCUGAAGCUUCU